rnacentral:lncRNA from 1 species
CAACGUAUCCUCAAGUGCCAUUCCCUCUGCCUGAAAUAUAUUCACCCUGGAAUAUAUUCUUCACCGGCUAACUCAUUCUGGUCUUAGGUUAAAGGUCUUUUCUCCAGAGAAGCUCUGUCAGUCCCUUUGGGGGAAGGUGGAUUUCUCUGUUUUUUUCUUUCACAGCAUCCUGUAUUGUUCCACUGUAGCCCUUGUCACAGCAGUAUUUAAAUGAUCAUUUGUUAAACUGACUUGCUGAAUACCUGUCUUUCCCACCAGAUUUCAAACUUCAUGAAGGCAAGCCUUCUUUACUCGUGUCUGCUGUUCCAAUGUCCAGCACAACACUUUGCAUGUAGGAGUAUUUUUCUCAAAACCUGUGUCGAUUUGAAGCAAAGUUUCUGGGCUAAAGGGCACAUGAUUUAAAACCUUGAUCUAAGAAGAUAGUACCAAGUUACAUCCUCACCAGUGAUGCAUGAGAGAACUCACUUCCUUACAUCACAGCCAGCACAGGUACUGUCAAAUGUUUUCAUCUUUUCCAGUUUGAUAAUUGAGCAGUUGUACCACAUUUAGUUUAAAUUUGCAUUUCCCUUUUUAUGAACAGAGUUGAGUAUCUUUUUAUAUGGUUAAAAUAUAGUUUCACUUUUUUUUUUUUUUUGGUGAAAUGCUUUAUAGCUUUUGGCCAUCUUACCUUUGAUUAGUAUUUGCACAGUGAUUUGUACAAGUCCUUCACACAUCUAAAGAG